GGAUAUCUUGGGCAAAUGAAGAUAUAUUGUCACCCAACCUGUAACUGACACAGGACUAAUAUCCAGAAUAUAUAAAGAACUCUUAGGAAAACAAAAUAUUUUUAUUAGCCCUUAACAGAAGAAAAACCCAAAUGGCAAAUAAAUACAUGAAAAUGAACAUACUGUCCACCAGAUUGGCUAAUUGGAGAAGGUAUGCAUAAAUGAGCUCCCAUAUAUUGCUGGUAAAAACCACUAUGGAAAACUUUGGCAUUAGUUAGUGCAACUGACAAUAUACAUAUUCCUAUAUCCAGCCAUUCUAAAUCUUAAACAUAAAUAGACAAGUUGACAGCAGUAUAUUCAUAAAAAGAAAUACAAGGAGAAAAGAUACCUUUAUAUGGAAAAAACAUUGGUAAAAACAUUAAAGAAUCAGACAAAAGGAUAUGUAACAUACGUUUCUGUUUAUAGUUCCCAAACAGGCAAGAUUAUUAUAUUUUGUUUAGGGAUGUAUACAUAACUGUUAAAGUAUAAAGCAAAGCAAAGACAUCAUUGCCCACAAAGUUAAAAUAAUGGUCAGCUUUGGGAAGGGAGGGCGAGGGAUAUCAGUGAUUUGGUAAGCAGGGAACUUACUAAGUUUUACAAAUGUUCUGUUUUUUGAGUUGCAUUAUGAUUACAUGUGUCUGUUGUAAAAUAACUUGUUAUGCUGUACAUUUUAUUUUUGCACUGUGCUUGGACUAUACAGCAGCAAGAAGAAUAGGCAGCUACAUGUCUUCAUUCCCCAUGGAAAGAUUACAAGUAGAGACUGACUAAAGAAAACUUUAUGGGAACUCUGAAAGGCAAAGGUCUACAAGAACCAAGCUAAUGCCCAAUCAAGGAAAAGUCACAUUCAAAAUGGUAAGAAAUUUUGUGGUAGUUUUACUCAGGCUUGCCCCACCCUCUCCACAGUGUGGUAGUGUUGGGAGGAAGCAGCAGCCCAGGUACCAGUGACCUCCCUCAAGUAGGAGGGAGCAGGACAGAUCUUAUUUGCAACAUUUUGGGGGCUGCUGAAGAACUGGUCUCUGUUUUGCCUAACUUGGAGCUUGGAUGAGGAAAAGUGGUAUACUUAGAGCGCAGCCUUGGAAAAGCCAUAGAAAGUGGUGGGUAACUGAAAGCUGCAGGACUGCAGACCUAUGGACUAGAACAAGGUACAGGAAGACUCUUUGGAAAAGUAAAAAAUUUAAAAGCGUGGUGUAACAGAAUAAAAACAAAUACACACAGGGCCUCAGGCAAGACCCUUACCAAGCAAAGUCCUGGAGGGUCUUUGGGGCUUCAUCGUGGGAUGAUGCUAAAGGUCAGAACACAUCUUACUAGUGAGUGGAGACACAGCCCACUGUUGCCAGUAAUGGAGCCAAAAGACUAACCAACAUGGCAUACCAGGCCCCAGCAAAACAUCACCAAAGCCUCCACUAAUAACCUCACUCUAAGCCACCAAGGAAAUCACAGAUACCAUUGACUCCAUUUACUACUGAAUAAAUGAUACAGUAUGCUACUGCGUACACCCAGAAUCAAAGGGAAAGUGUCCUACCCAACCAGCAUCAUAGACACACCUUCAGGAAAAAGUCCUCUACAAAAGCAAAGUCAAAAAUUUGGAAGAAGCAACUGUUAUACCGAUGUAUAGAUAUCAACAUAGGAACAAAGAAAACAUGAAAAGUCAAGGAAAUUUGACAGCUCUAAAGGAACACUAAUUCUGCAAUAACAGAUUCCAAUCAAAAAUUCAUAAAAUCCAGGGGAAAAACUGAUUCUAAAGCAGCUCAGUGAGAUACACAAAAACUCUUAAAAAAAAAAAACCAAAAAUGUAAAGAUAUGAAUGAGAAAUUUACCACACAGAUCGAUGAUAUCAUAAAAAAGAAAAAAGCCAAUUCUGGAAUACAAGAAUUCAUUGGAUGAAAUACAAAAUACAUCCAAAAUCUUAAACAACCAAUUAGGUCAAGCAGAAGAAAUAAUCUCAGAACUUGAAGACAAGUCUUUUGAAAUAACUCAGGCAAAAAUAGAAAAUAAAAAGUAAUGAGCAAAAACUUCAUGACAUAUGGGACAACACAAAGCAAUGAAAUACUUGAAUUAUCAGGGUCCCAGAAGGCAAAGAGGGGAGAACUUUUCUAGUCUAGCAAGAGAUUUAGAUAUCCAGAUACAGGAGAUUCAGAGAUCCCUAAACAGAUAACAGUGCAAAAAGGUCCUCUCCAUAGCACAUUAUAGUCAAACUCAAAAGUCAAAGACAAGGAGAGAAUUCUAAAAACAAGAGAAAAGUGUCUAGUACCUAUAAAGGAACUCCCAUCAGAAUAACAGCAGACUUCUCAGCAGAAAUGUUACAUGCCAAGAGAGAAUAGGAUGAUGAUAUAUUCAAAAUGCUGACAGAAAAAAAAAAGCCCUGACAGCCAAAGAUACUAUAUCCAGAAAAAUUAUCCUUGCUAAAUAAAGGAAAAAUAAAAUAUUUCCUAGACAAGCAAAAGCUGAGAGAAUCACCACUACACCAGCCUUACAGAAAGGCUCAAGAGAAUCUUAAACGUGGAAGGGAACAGAUGCCAUUUACCAUCAUGAAAACAGGAAAGUAAAAAACUCACUGGAAAAGCAAAUGCACAAGUGAAAAGAACAAACUCACAUGGUACCACUACAGAAAACCACCAAACCACAAUUACAAUAAGAGAAAAAGAACAGGCCAGGCACAGUGGCUCAUGCCUGUAAUCCCAGUACUUUGGGAGGCCGAGGGGGGGAUCACAAGGUCAGGAGAUCAAGCCCAUCCUGGCUAACAUGGUGAAACCCCGUCUCUACUAAAAAUGCAAUAAAUUAGCCGGGCAUGGUGGUGGGCACCCAUAGCCCCAGCUACUGGGGAGGCUGAGGCAGGAGUAUGGCAAGAACCUGGGAGGCAGAGCUUGCAGUGAGCCGAGAUCGCACCACUGCACUCCAGCCUGGGUGACAGAGCAAGACUCUGUCUCUAAAAACAAAAACAAAAACAAAAAAAAAACAAAAAAAGAAUAUACAAAACAACCUAAAAACAACAGUAUGACAGAAACAAAACCUGACAUACUAGUAAUAACCUUAAAUGUAAAUCAGUUAAAUAUUGCAUUUAAAAGAUAUAGACUGCCUGAUGGGUAAAAAAACAUAACCCAACUGUAUGCUAACUACAAGAAAUGCACUUUACCUAUAGAAUUACAACAAAGAGAAGGGAAAACAUACUCCAUGCAAAGAGACAGACUCCAAUACAAUAAUAGUGGGGUGCUUCAACACCCUACUCUUAAGCAUUAGAUCAUCUAGACAAAAAAAAACAGCCAACAAAGAAACAUUGGAUUUAAACUGACCUUUGGAUCAAAUGGGCCUAACAUUAACACAGAACAUUUUAUCAAACAUUUGCAGAAUACACAUUCUUCUUUUUAGCACACAGAACAUUCUCCAAGAUAGACCAUAUUUUAGGCCAAAAAAAUAAGCCUCAACAAAUUUAAAGUAUCUUUUCAGACCACAAUGGGACAAUACUAGAACAUAAUGCUAAGAGGAAUUUUGAAAACUAUACACACAUAUAGAAAUUAAAUAACAUGAUCCUGAACAACCUAAUUAGGUCAAUGAAGAAGAAAUAAAAACAUUUAUUGAAACAAAUGAAAGUGGAAAUACAACAUCUUCAAACCUGUGGGAUACAGGAAAAGCAGUACUAAAAGGGAAAUUUAUAGCAAUAAAUGCCUGCUGCAAAAAAGAUUUCAACUAAAAACUCUAAUGAUGCACUUCAAGGAACUAGAAAAACAAAAACAAACCUAAUUGAAAAUUAGCAGAAAUAGGCCAGGAAUGAUGGCUCACGCCUGUAAUCCCAGCACUUCGGGAGGCCAAGGCAGGUGGAUCACGAGGUCAGGAGUUUGAGACCAGCCUGGCCAAGAUGGUGAAACCCAGUCUCUACUAAAAAUACAAAAUUUAGCCGGGUCUGGUGGCGGCUGCCUGUAAUCCCAGCUAGUCAGGAGGCUGAGGCAGGAGAACUGCUUGAACCCAGGAGGCAGAGGUUGCAGUGAGCUGAGAUCGCACCACUGCACUCCAGCCUGGGUGACAGACCAAGAGUCAGUCUCAGAAAAAAAAAAUUACCAGAAAUAAAGAUCAGAGGCGAAGUAAAUGAAGUAGAAAGUUAGAAAAUAACAAAGAAUCAAUGAAAUGAAGUUGGUUCUUCAAAAAAAAAACAAAACUGAUAAACUUAGCUAGAGUAAGAGAGAAGACCCAAAUAAAAUUAGAAAUGACGAAAGAGAUAUUACAACUAAUACCACAGAAAUACAAAACUUCCCAGACACUUAUAUGAACAAUAUGCUAACAAACUGGAAAAAUCUAGAGGAAAUGGAUAAAUUCCUGGACACAUACAACCUAACAAGAUUGAAACAGGAUGAAAUCAAAAACCGGAAGAGACCAAUAACAGGUAAUGAGAUGGAAGCAGUAAUAAAGUCUUCUGACAAUGCCCAGCACUGGAUGGAUUCACUGCCGAAUUCUACGAAACAUAAAAAAGAACUAAUACCAUAGCUGCAUGUGCUGGCAUGCUUGUAAUCACAGCUACUCUGGAGGCAAUCCCAACUACUCAGGAGAUUGAGGUAGGAGGACUGCUUGAGCCCAUGAGUUUGAGACUAGCGUGGGCAACACAGUGAAACCCCAUCUCAAAAAACAAAAACAAAAGUAAUACCAGUCUUUCUCAAACUAUUCCAGAAGAUUAAAGCAUCAGGGAUUCUUCCUAACUCAUUCUAUAAGGCCAGCAUUACCCUGAUUUCAAAAAGAGAUAAGGACAUAACAGCAACAACAACAAAAAAAUUGACAGGCCAGUGUCCCUGAUGACUCUAGAUGCAAAACUGAACAAAAUACUAGCAAAGUGAAUUCAAGAACACAUCAAAAAGAUAACACACCAUAAUCAAGUGGGAUUUACCUCAGGGAUGCAAGGAUGGUUCAACAUACACAAAUCAAUAAAAGUGAUACAUCACAUCAACAGAAUGAAGGACCAAAAGCAUAGGAUCAUCUCAAUAGACACAGAAAAAGCAUGUGAUAAAUUUCAAGAUCUCUUCAUGACUAAAGACUCAACAAACUAGGUAUAGAAGGAACAUGUCAAAAUAAGAAAGGCCAUAUAUGAAAAACCCAUAGCUAACAUCAUACUAAUGGAAAAGUGUUAAAGGCCUUUCCUCUAAGAAAUGGAACAAGACAAAGAUACCCAUUUUCACUACUCCUAUUCAACAUAGUACUGGAUGUACUAGCCAGAGCAAUCAGGUAAGAGAAGAAAAUAAAAGACAUCCAAAUUGGAAAAGAGGAAGCCAAACUGUCCCACUUGGCAUAUGACACAAUCUUAUAUUUAGAAAAUGAAAAGAAUCAACCAGAAAACUAUUACAGCUGAUAAGCAAAUUGAGUAAAGUUGCAAGAUAAAAAAGCAACAUACAAAAGUCAGUGACAUUUGCCUACACUGAUAAUGAAAUAGCCAAAAAGGAAAUCAAGAAAGCAAUUCCAUUUACAAUAGCUACAAAAAUAAUAAAAUACAUAGGAAUAUAUUUAACAAAGGAGGUGAAAAAUCUCUACAAAACACUGAUGAAUGAAGUUGAGGAGGACAAAACAAAUGGAAAGACAUUUCAUGCUCACGGAUCAGAAGAAGAAUGUUAAAGUGAGCAUGCUUCCCAAAGCAAUAUACAGAUUAAAUGCAAUCCCUAUCAAAAUACCAGUCAUUUUUUACAGAAAUAGAAAAAAAAAAUCCUAAGAUUCAUAUAGAACCAAUAAAGAGCUAGAAUAGCCAAAGCAAUCCUGACCAAAAAGAACAAAGGUGGAGACAUCACACUACCUAACUUCAAAUUAUAUUACAAGGGUAUAGUAUCCAAAACAUCAUGGUAUUGGCAUGAAAAUAGACACAUAAACCAACGGAACAGAACAGAAAACACAGAAUAAAUCCAUGUAUUUACAACCAGCUGAAAUCCUAGCACUUUGGGAGGCCAAGGUGGGCUGACUGCUUGAGUCCAGGAGUCUGAGACCAGCCUGGGAAACAUGGCAAAACCAUGUCUUUACAAAAAAUAGAAAUCAGCUGAGCAUGGUGGUGCAUGCCUGUCAUCCCAGCUACUGAGGAGACUGAGAGGUAGGAGGAGCACUUGAGGCUGGGAGGUCAAGGCUGCAGUGAGCUGUCAUCACACCACUGCACUCUAGCUUGGGUGAAAGAUUUUUUUUGCCUUAGUCUAGGGAAGACUUUAUGUCUAAAACCUCCAGUGCACAGACAACAAAAACAAAUGGACAUACCUGGUUAUUCCUUCCAGUAACAUAAAAAAUAGACAAAUGGGACUCUAUUAAACUGAAAUCUGCACUGUAAAAGAAACAGUGAAGACACAAACCUGUUGAAUAGGAGAAUAUAUUUGCAAACAUCCUCUGACAAAGGACUAACAGGCUACAUAAGGAACACAACAAUUUGUGAAAACACCAUUAAAAAGUGGGCAAAGAACUGAAUAGAUAGUUCUCAAAAGAAGACAUACAAAUGGCCAAUAAGUACAUUAAAAAGGCUCAACAUCAUCAGUCAUCAGGGAAAUGCAAACCAAAAUCACAGUGAGAUAUCUUAUCUCAGAAUGGCUAAUCAUUAAAAGACAGAUGCUGGCAAGAAGGCAGAGAAGAGGCAACUCUUACCCACUCUUGGUGGGAAUGUAAAUUAGUAUAGUCACUAUGGAAAACAGUAUGGAGAUCUCUCAAAAAACUAAAAUUAGAACUACCACACUAUCCAGCAAACCCAUUACUGGAUAUCUAUCCAAAAGGAAGGAAAUCAGUCUACCAAAAGGAUACCCUCAUUUACAUGUAUAUUGCAGCACUAUUCACAAUAGCAAAGAUAUGGAAUCAACCUAAGUGUCCAUCGAUACAUGAAUGGAUAAAGAAAAUGUGGUAUAUAUACACAAUGGAAUACUAUUUGGCCAUUAAUAAUGAAAUCAUGUCAUUUGCAACAACAUGGAUGGAACUGGAGGUCAUUAUGUUAAGUAAAAUAACACGGGCACAGAAAGACAAAUACAACAUGUUCUCAGUUGUGUAGGACCUAAAAACUUGAUAUCAUGGAGAUAGAGAAUAGAAUACCAGAGGUGGGGAGUGUGUGACUGGGAAAUGAAGAGGCUGGUGAAUGGGUACAGACUUAGAUAGAAUACAUCCUAAUGUUCACUAUUAGAGUAGGAUGAUUAUAGUUAGCAACAAUAUAUUGUAUAUUUCAAAAUAACUAGAAGCGAGGAUUUGAAAUAUUCCCAACACAUAGAAAUGAAAAAUAACCUGACAGAUACUCAUAUUACACGUGUAAUAUGUGUAAUACUCAUGAGUAUUACACAUAUUACAUAUUCUAUGUAUGUGCUCCAUAAAUAUGUAAAACAUUGUGUCAAUAAGAAAAAUAAACCAGAUUUCAUCACUGAAAAAAAUCACAAUUGAAAAAUUGACAAGAGACAUUUAACAGACUCAGAAUCAUAAACCUAGUCACUGGAAAUUGAUUCUGAGAAGCAAAAAAGAGAAAGGGAUAAAGAAAUGUGAACAGAACCUAAGGGACACCAUCAAGCAAACCAACAUAUGCAUUAAAGGAGUUCCAGGAGGAACAAAGACAGGCAGCAUGAUGGAGGAGACAAGGGCAGAAAACAUCAAAUUUGAAGAAAGACAUGAAUCUACAAAUCCAAGAAUUUCAUUAAAUUCCAAGUAGGAUAAACUGAAAGGGACCUGCACUAACACAUUAUAAUCAAACUGUUAAAGCCAAAGAGAGAAUCUUGAAAGCAGCAAGAGAUAUGACUUGUCACAUAUAAGCAAUCCUUAAUAAAAUUAUCAUCAGAUUUCUCAGCAGAUACCUGGGUAGCCAGGAGGCUGUGCCAUGAUAUAUUUAAAGUGCUGAAAGAAAAGUCUCAGCAAAGAGUUCCAUAUCUGACAAAACGGUCCUUCAAAAAUGACCGAAAUUAAGACAUUCUCCCAAAUGUCUUAAUUAUUUCGGGAGACAUGUCUCCCAAAAUUAAGACAUUCUCAGAGAAAGCAGCAGCUGGGGGCGAGUUCAUUACUACUAGACCUGCCCUUCAAGAAAUUCUGAAGGGAAUCCUAAAAUUUAAAAUGGAAUGCUUCAGAUAGUAACUGUAAGCCAUACAAAAAUAUGGAGAUCUAUAGUAAAAGUAAAUACAUGGACAAAUUGGUUGGUAUAAAUAUAACAGACUAUUGCAACUUUAGGCUGCUAAUGUAAUCUCUGUGUUAACCACAGAGAAAACAGUCCUAGAAUACAGAUCAAGGAAAUGAGAAUUAAUUACAAGAGAAAAAAAAUGGCUCAACACAAAAGGCAGUAAUGGAGGAAAUGAGGGGCAUGACACAUACAGAAAACAACGAAAUUACAAAGUCGGUCCUUCCCUACCAGUAAUUUCUUUUUUUAUUUUUUGAGAUAGAGUCUUGCUCUGUCACCCAGGCUGGAGUGCAGUGGUGCAAUCUCAGCUCACUAUACCCUUUCGCCUCCCAGGUUCAGGCAAUUCUCUGCCUCAGCCUCCCAAGUAGCUGGAAUUACAGGCAUGCACCACCACACCCAGCUAAUCUAUGUAUUUUAGUAGAGAUGACAUUUCGCCAUGUUGGCCAGGCUGGUCUUGAACUCCUGGCCUCAAGUGAUCUGCCUGCCUCAGCCUCCCAAAAUGCUGGGAUUACGAGUGUGAGCCAUUGCACCCCGCCCAGUAAUUUCUUGAAAUGUAAAUGAAUGGAACUCCAAUUGAUAGACACAUUUACAGAAUGGAUUUUUUAAAAAGAUUACAACUAUGUGCUGUCUACAAGAGACUCAUAUUUAGAUGGAAGGAGAUGCAUACGUUCAAUGUUAAAGGAUGGAAAAAACAGUAAUCACAGAGAAGUGGCUAUGCUAGUAUUAGACAAAAUAAGUCAAGCACUGUUUCAAGAGAAAAGGACAUUAUAUAUUGAUAAAAGGAUUAACUUACCAAGAAGAUAGAACAAUUAUAAGCAUCAUGCAUCAAAUAUCAGGGCUUCAAUAUAUAUAAAGCAAGCAUUGACAGACUUGAAGGGAGAAAUACUGUUCUACAAUAACAGUAAGAGAGUUUCAUACGCCACUUUUAAUGAUGGUUAAAACAACCUGACAGGAUCAAUAAGGAAACAGAGGAUUUGAACAAUGUGAUAGGCCAAAUGGACCUAACGUACAGAUCACCCAACAACCAGAGAAUGUAUACUUUUCUCAAGUGUACAUGGAUUAUUCACCAGAAUAGAUCAUGUUAGGCCACAAAGCAACUCUUAAUACAUUUUAAAGGGCAGAAAUGAUAAAGUAUCUUCUUUAAUCACAAUGCAAUGCAAUUAGAAGGAAAACUGGGAAAUCCAAAUGAACACACUUUUAAGCAACCAAUGUGUCAAAUAAGAAAUCACAAGGCAAACUAUAGAAUAUCUUGUGACAAAUGAUAGUAAAAUCACAAUAUGACAAAACUUACAGGAUGCCAUGAAAGCACUGCUGAAAAAGAAAUACAUAUUAAUAGCUGUAAACACAUUUAAGAAGAUCUCACAUCAACAACCUAAUUUUACAACGUAAAGAACUAAAACUAAACCCAAGGCUAGCUGAAGGAAGGAAAUAAAAAUUAGAGCAGAAAUAAAGAACAGAAACAUACAGAAAAAAAAAUCAACAAAACCAAGAGUUAAUUUGUCAAAAAGAUCAACAAAAUUGACAAACCUUUAGCUAGAUUGACAAAGAAAAAAAAAUAACUAAAAUUAGAGAUGAAAGUGAAGACAUUACUACCAGUUCUACAAAAAUAAAAAGGAUCCUAAGAAUACCAUGAACAAUUGUAUGCCAACAAAUUGAAUAACCUAGACGAAAGGGACAAACUCCUAGAAACACACAACCUACCAGGAUUGAAUAAUAGAGAAACAGAAAAUCUAAUUCAUCUUAUGAGGCCAGCAUGCUCCGGUACCAAAGCCAGAAAAGACACAAGACAACUACAGAUCAACAACCAUUAUGAAUGAAUAUUGAUUCAAACAUCUUCAGUGUAAUACUAGCAAAGCAAAUUCAACAGCAUAUUUAAAGGAUUAUUCACCAUGAGAACAUGGAGUUUACUCUUAGAAUGCAAGGUGGUUCAACAUAUGAAAGUCAGUGCAAUGCACCACACAUUAACAGAAUAGAGGGGGGGAACCACUUGAUCAACUCAUGCAGAAAAAGCAUUCUGACAAGAUACAACACCCUUUUAUAACAAAAACACUCAGCAAAAUAGAAGUAGAAGGAAAGUACCUCAACAUAAUGAAGUCCAUAUAUGAAAAACCCACAACCAAUCUCAUAAUAGUGAAUGGCUGAAACCUUUUCCAGUAAGAUCAAGAACAAACAAGGAUUUUUUUUUUUUUUUU
rnacentral:lncRNA from 1 species